UAGUGGAUAAAUUCCUGAGCUGCAGAUUUAUAUUUCUUCCUGGAAUGGAAAGUUACAGCAGAYAACUGAGGGAGGAUUCAGCAGAUAAAUAAACUUAUUUGUUGUUUUUACAUCACGUUGGGCUGUUUUUUUACUAGAUUUUUUUUUUAACCUGAUGGAUGUUUUUUUUUACAGAAGCAGAAGAAGAUGACUCAGACAUGACUGGACCUCUCCUCCAUCUCUGGAGGAUCAGUCAUCGUGUUUUUAACUGAACUUCAGGGUUUAGUGAAGGAAAACAGCAGCGCUGACURAGAAAUGUGGAGAAAAGAUUAAAUUACAGAACUUUCUCAGCGAGUUCAGAGCACCGGAGUCCAGAGCAAGGACAGAACCAGAACCAGAACCAGAACCAGAGCACAGAAUGAGGUCCAGAUGUCUCCUCUCCGCCGUGGACAGACUCCCMACCAUCGAUGAGAUCCAGGAGGGGGUCUCAGAGGACCGACACCUGGACCACACCUGGGGGGAGUACUUGGACUCCAUCAGGGAACUCUCCCAGCCCUCCUGCUACCCGMUUCACGGGCCCCUCAGGGGUCACCGCCACUGGACCAGAAGCCCCUCCCCCCGGCAGUCCGUCAACCCAUCAGACAUCUCGUUCACGCUAACAGAGCGGUCCAGCUGGGACCCCCCAGGGCCCUUUAAACACAGCCUGCUGGACUUGCUGGUGUCCUYGACCCUGUUUGCAGGUCUGACAUGAACUGAGGGUUCUGAGGAACAGAAACUGUCCRGCGUGCCCCCCCAGAGCGGCCCCCAAACAAACCUCCAAACCUUCCACUGACCAAAAGAAAAACCUGAAACCUUCUUGWUUUGUGUUUGUUUUAAACGUGUUCAACAGGUUUUAUUGUCUGUUCCUUUUUUAACGACAGCGUUAAAUAUUUSUUUCUCCCGGAUGUUUCUGAGCAGCUGGAAAGAAUAAAUGUCUCAGCGGUCGGUGAGAAUGUCACACAAACACUUUGAAAGUUGAGAACKUUGAAUUCACAUACGCAGCAGAUUUUUCGGGCGGUUGAAUGAAAAGUUUGGACAUAUUUGGAGAGAUUAACAGAAAAAAUAAGCUUUCCUGGUUGGUAAAAGUCAAACCSUUWCCAAAAAAUAAAAAUAAAAAAGCCUUUUUGUUUAYGGUGAUCCUCA